AUUGAACGCUAGCGGGAUGCUUUACACAUGCAAGUCGAACGGAGUGGCGGACGGGUGAGUAAUAUAUCGGAAUGUGCCCAGUAGCGGGGGAUAACUACUCGAAAGAGUAGCUUAUACCGCAUACUAUCGGAUCGGCCGAUAUCGGAUUAGCUAGUUGGUGGGGUAAAGGCUCACCAAGGCAACGAACCGUAGCUGGUUUGAGAGGACGACCAGCAACACUGGGACUGAGACACGGCCCAGACUCUUACGGGAGGCAGCAGUGGGGAAUAUUGCACAAUGGCCGAAACCCUGAACCAGCCAUCGCGCGUGUAUGAUGAAGUCCUACGGGUUGUAAAGUACUUUUUGCGGUGAAGCGUUAUCCGCAGAAUAAGCAACGGCUAACUACGUGCCAGGAGCCGCGGUAAUUC
rnacentral:rRNA from 1 species